UACAGAGGGGGCCAGCGUUAUUCGGAAUUAUUGGGCGUAAAGGGCGCGUAGGCGGCCAUGCGUGUCUUCCGUGAAAUCCCUCGGCUUAACCGAGGACGUGCGGAAGAAACUGCAAGGCUCGAGUCCGGAAGAGGGGGGCGGAAUUCCCAGUGUAGCGGUGAAGUGCGUAGAUAUUGGGAGGAACACCAGUGGCGAAGGCGGUCCCCUGGGCCGGAACUGACGCUGAGGCGCGAAAGCGUGGGUAGCAAACGGG
rnacentral:rRNA from 1 species